rnacentral:rRNA from 1 species
UACGGAGGGAGCUAGCGUUAUUCGGAAUUACUGGGCGUAAAGCGCGCGUAGGCGGAUCGCUAAGUCAGGGGUGAAAUCCCAGGGCUCAACCCUGGAACUGCCUUUGAUACUGACGAUCUGGAGAUCGGGAGAGGUUGGUGGAAUUCCGAGUGUAGAGGUGAAAUUCGUAGAUAUUCGGAGGAACACCAGAAGCGAAGGCGGCCAACUGGCCCGAUACUGACGCUGAGGAGCGAAAGCGUGGGGAGCAAACAGG